ACAUUUCAAAACCUUACCCUCUCCUCUAGGCUUGCCGCGAUUGACGGUGUUGACGGUGAUACCGGUGUUAAGCCGCAACACCGGUUACGUCACUUGCCCACCGCGUCACCGACCCCCA